ACUGGAUUAUGUCAAUGCUUAUCUAAUGGAGCUGCAAAAUAUAAUUAGUCAUGUUCAAAAAAAGAGCUCGCCGUUUGACUGAAACUUCCAUUCAAUCAAAGAAAAGAUCAAAACGUGGAAACUUCAAUCGACCACUGAAAUGAUCCACCAUGUAUGUGAUUCAGUUGUUGUGACAUGGAAACCUACCAGAUAAGCUGCAUUAUUAUUUCCAGAUAAUGUUUCAGUACUGUGAAUUCUUCCCAAAAUGGACUUCAUGUUGCUACAAAAUGUUUUAGCAAGCUAAAUCGUAGCUCCUACAAAAAUUCAAUAUGCCGUUUCUCAAGUACCGACUUAGACUUCAAAAAGAAGAAAGCAAAUUUUUAAUCGAAAUGCAAAUGAACAGAAAUCUAUAAAGAAGAACUUAAGUAAUACACUCAAACUAAUGAAGAAAUGGAAAAGUGAACACGUUCAGGAAAUUUUAUUAAAAGGUGAAUAU